rnacentral:rRNA from 1 species
GCUUACGGCCAUACCACCCUGAACACGCCCGAUCUCAUCUGAUCUCGGAAGCCAAGCAGGGUAGGACCUUGUUAGUACUUGGAUGGGAGACCGCCUGGGAAUACCAGGUGCUGUAAGCU